UAACAAGGUCUCCGUUGGUGAACCAGCGGAGGGAUCAUUACCGAGUUUACAACUCCCAAACCCCUGUGAACAUACCACUUGUUGCCUCGGCGGAUCAGCCCGCUCCCGGUAAAACGGGACGGCCCGCCAGAGGACCCCUAAAACUCUGUUUCUAUAUGUAACUUCUGAGUAAAACCAUAAAUAAAUCAAAACUUUCAACAACGGAUCUCUUGGUUCUGGCAUCGAUGAAGAACGCAGCAAAAUGCGAUAAGUAAUGUGAAUUGCAGAAUUCAGUGAAUCAUCGAAUCUUUGAACGCACAUUGCGCCCGCCAGUAUUCUGGCGGGCAUGCCUGUUCGAGCGUCAUUUCAACCCUCAAGCACAGCUUGGUGUUGGGACUCGCGUUAAUUCGCGUUCCUCAAAUUGAUUGGCGGUCACGUCGAGCUUCCAUAGCGUAGUAGUAAAACCCUCGUUACUGGUAAUCGUCGCGGCCACGCCGUUAAACCCCAACUUCUGAAUGUUGACCUCGGAUCAGGUAGGAAUACCCGCUGAACUUAAGCAUAUC
rnacentral:rRNA from 1 species